CUACGGGCGGCAGCAGUGGGGAAUAUUGCACAAUGGGCGCAAGCCUGAUGCAGCCAUGCCGCGUGUGUGAAGAAGGCCUUCGGGUUGUAAAGCACUUUCAGCGGGAGGAAGGCGGUGAGGUUAAUAACCUUGGCGAUUGACGUUACCCGCAGAAGAAGCACCGGCUAACUCCGUGCCAGCAGCCGCGGUAAUACGGAGGGUGCAAGCGUUAAUCGGAAUUACUGGGCGUAAAGCGCACGCAGGCGGUCUGUCAAGUCGGAUGUGAAAUCCCCGGGCUCAACCUGGGAACUGCAUUCGAAACUGGCAGGCUAGAGUCUUGUAGAGGGGGGUAGAAUUCCAGGUGUAGCGGUGAAAUGCGUAGAGAUCUGGAGGAAUACCGGUGGCGAAGGCGGCCCCCUGGACAAAGACUGACGCUCAGGUGCGAAAGCGUGGGGAGCAAACAGGAUUAGAUACCCCUGUAGUC
rnacentral:rRNA from 1 species